GAUGAACGCUGGCGGCGUGCCUAACACAUUCAAGUCGAACGGUGACGGGGACUUCGGUCCCCUGAUCAGUGGCGGACGGGUGAGUAACGCGUGAGCAACCUGCCUCUGCGUGGGGGAUAACGAUUGGAAACGAUCGCUAAUACCGCAUAAUGUAAUUUCUUGGCAUCUUGAAAUUACCAAAGAUUUAUUGCGCAGAGAUGGGCUCGCGUCUGAUUAGAUAGUUGGUGGGGUAACGGCCUACCAAGUCGACGAUCAGUAGCCGGACUGAGAGGUUGAACGGCCACAUUGGAACUGAGAAACGGUCCAGACUCCUACGGGAGGCAGCAGUGGGGAAUAUUGGGCAAUGGGCGAAAGCCUGACCCAGCGACGCCGCGUGCGGGAAGAAGGUCUUCGGAUUGUAAACCGCUGUUGAUAGGGAAGAAGAAAGUGACGGUACCUAUCGAGGAAGUCACGGCUAACUACGUGCCAGCAGCCGCCGUAAGAC
rnacentral:rRNA from 1 species